CUGGGCUCCACUGGGAAUACCACUGCAUACACACAGAGAGGGUCAUUCUGUCAGUAUCUCGGUAUGGAUCGGGGUCCCGAAAGCACACUACAGAACGAGCAGGUCUGAUGCUCGGAUCUUGGCCUUUGCCCUUGAACAUGGGAGUGAGAUGAGCCUGCAAACGGGCCAGAGCUCUUGGGGUCCACAUGGGUCGGGGGUGGAACAGGUGGUGGUUUGUUCUGUGGUCUUCACACACACUGAGUCAGCGACUGCUGCUUCCCACUGGCUACCGGCCACCAGGAGACACAGAGUGACUUCCCCACAGUCGCCAAUUACUGGGAAAUGCGGGGUGAUGUCCCCGCUGGCUGCUGGUCACCAGGAGACGCAAGGUGACUUCCCCAACAGUUGCUGGUCACCGGGAGAUGCGGGGUGAUGUCCUUGCCCACCACCAGUCACCGGGAGGCACGAGGUGACAUCCCCAGCAAUUGCUGGUCACUACUGGGAGGCACACGGUGACGUUUCCAACAGUCGCCGGCCACCAGGAGGCACGGGGUGACGCCCCCAACAGUUGCUGGUCACCGGGAGACAUGGGCUGACAUCCCCCAACAGUUGCUGG
rnacentral:lncRNA from 1 species